ensembl:lncRNA
GGAAUUUUAGCACUACUUCAUAUAACACAUAUCUGUGUUUCGUGUAGGCUUGUAAUUCUCUCUCGGACAAGAUAUGUCUAUGUCCUGGGAAAUGUUCUUGUUAAUGCUAAUCGCAUAAGCCUGCGUUAGCUCAACCGUCCCGUGGAAGGGACAUCCCGAAGAAGUUUUAAAAAUAAGCGCACCUGGGGCAUGCAGGCAUCCUGGCUGGCAUGGCGUGGUCAGCAAAGCAGCAGGAGGCUAUAUGUAACAGGAUAGGGCGAGAUCGCGAACGUCAGGUCUUCCCAGUAUGAAAAUGUGAUGCAAGGGCAACAGAAAUAAAUGAUGCGCAACUGGGACCACUGGCUGAUGUGAUUUAUUUGGACAAAACACAACACAAGGAGAGUACGAUUUACAUCUGUUACACUGGUGCCGUGACUCGUCUUCGCCGGACGUCACGUGGAGGGAUCCGAGACCCGGCUUCAGGAAGUACUCUGGUUGCUCAUGCACGCCAGAGGCCUAGGUUUCGCAUUCUGCACAAGUGGAAUUCUCAGGGAGCUCCUGAUAGCAUGAGUGAGUGGGGGAAAUAUAAUGUACUGUUUAUUACUUGUAUGUGGUGAUGCAAUGAUUAUUUAGUGAUGUAAUUGUGCUGUUACGCUAGUAACCUUCCGAAGCCCAUUAACGUGAGGGCGUCGCCAUUUUCUACCACACGGUGGCGACAACUAUUUAUUAAGGCGUUUCUUGUUACUUUUCUGUAUUGAUUCUUGGUCUUGUUAGACCACUACUACUGAACUUUUAUUUUGAGUGCAUUAUGUUCAAGCUGAUUUUAUAGAAGUGUUCAUAUUAAUUGUGAUUUUUUUUUUGACUUAAUAUUUACAUUAAAAAU